CCUACGGGCGGCAGCAGUGAGGAAUAUUGGUCAAUGGACGAGAGUCUGAACCAGCCAAGUAGCGUGAAGGAUGACUGCCCUAUGGGUUGUAAACUUCGUUUAUAUGGGAAUAAAAUGUUCCACGUGUGGGGUUUUGUAUGUACCAUAUGAAUAAGGAUCGGCUAACUCCGUGCCAGCAGCCGCGGUAAUACGGAGGAUCCGAGCGUUAUCCGGAUUUAUUGGGUUUAAAGGGAGCGUAGGUGGAUUGUUAAGUCAGUUGUGAAAGUUUGCGGCUCAACCGUAAAAUUGCAGUUGAAACUGGCAGUCUUGAGUACAGUAGAGGUGGGCGGAAUUCGUGGUGUAGCGGUGAAAUGCAUAGAUAUCACGCAGAACUCCGAUUGCGAAGGCAGCACACCGGCGCCCGACUGACGCUGAGGCACGAAAGCGUGGGGAUCGAACAGGAUUAGAUACCCGAGUAGUC
rnacentral:rRNA from 1 species